GAUUAAAAACAUGGCUUCGAAGAAAGUUGUUUUCGUCAUAAGCGGCUCACGUGUUAUAGUUAUUCCAAGAAAAUUUAUAUUUACUAUGCAACAAGAUGUUAGAUAAAUAUAUUGUAAUGUUGAACAGUUAAAGGCCGAAGAGUCAUGGAUAUUUGCAUCCUGCUUUGAUUUCUGUGGUGUUUUGUCUUGAUGGGAAAACUUUGGAACCAAAAACCAGGGCUCACAAAUUCCUCUUCAGAGCUCCAUCAAUAUAGCCAGUUGAUGCUUUGAACACCUAGAAAUUGGAUAUGAAUGGGAUCUGGACUAAAACCUUCAUAAGAACUUGUAUGACUUUUGCAGGAGAAAUGUUCGCUGUCGCAGACACCCAGUGGACACCGCAAUAAAAGAUGAUGUCGAUGCAUCAGUAGAAAGAGGCAAACGCACAUGAAGGAAAGGUUUACCACAUGAACCAAGUCUCUAUACAGAAAUCCAAUACAGACACUUUCCUUGUUUGUAAUCAUUUAAAGAUUUUGCAGCCACAAGAACGUUGCAGAAAAUUCCAUUCCGUAUGGCAUGUAAACUUGAUUUCUCACGCUCAACCAUGUAACAUCUCUUUGUAACUUGUCCAGUGGCCUUUAGCUCCCGCAUGGAAUGCCCCCCUCACCCUUAAAGUGUUGCUUAUGUGCCGCCUAACUACCGAAAUUGUUCGGCCUAACUGCCCAAAAUUAAGUAGGGUAACUCUGAACGGAAAGCUGCAAUUUGGAGCCAUCUAUUGUCGGGAAAUGUACAAAGAAGUCUCUAAGUUAACCAUAAACACACCCUCUUCGAUCGCGUGGAACAUAGGUCGAUGCAAUAUCCAGGGCAAUCGCGAGGCAAGCCUUGCUGGGGGGGGGUGUGGACAACAAAUUUACCUGAUUAUUAAACAAUUACCUGAAAUUCUUAACAUGCUGAAGCAAACCUCUGCAAUACUUUUUGUCAAUCUAACGGUGUGGCAUAUAAUUCGCAAUUUUCAAUUUUAUAUGAUUAUAACAGACUUUUAUAAUAGUUUUGUCAAAUCUGUAUAUCGGGACGGGCAAGGAUAUACCUACCCGAGCCCGCACCAUGGUUGCCGC